rnacentral:rRNA from 1 species
UACGAAGGGGGCGAGCGUUGUUCGGAAUUACUGGGCGUAAAGGGCGCGUAGGCGGCGAUCCUAGUCAGAUGUGAAAGUCCUGGGCUUAACCUGGGGACUGCAUUUGAUACUGGAUUGCUUGAAUGCAGGAGAGGAUAGCGGAAUUCCCAGUGUAGAGGUGAAAUUCGUAGAUAUUGGGAAGAACACUGGUGGCGAAGGCGGCUAUCUGGACUGUGAUUGACGCUGAGGCGCGAAAGCGUGGGGAGCAAACAGG